rnacentral:rRNA from 1 species
GAUGAACGCUAGCGGCAGGCUUAACACAUGCAAGUCGAGGGGUAUAGUUCUUCGGAACUAGAGACCGGCGCACGGGUGCGUAACGCGUAUGCAAUCUACCUUUUGCAGAGGGAUAGCCCAGAGAAAUUUGGAUUAAUACCUCAUAGUAUGUGAGAAUGGCAUCAUUUUCACGUUAAAGUCACAACGGCAAAAGAUGAGCAUGCGUCCCAUUAGCUUGUUGGUAAGGUAACGGCUUACCAAGGCAACGAUGGGUAGGGGUCCUGAGAGGGAGAUCCCCCACACUGGUACUGAGACACGGACCAGACUCCUACGGGAGGCAGCAGUGAGGAAUAUUGGACAAUGGGCGCAAGCCUGAUCCAGCCAUGCCGCGUGCAGGAUGACGGUCCUAUGGAUUGUAAACUGCUUUUGUACAGGAAGAAACACUGGUUCGUGAACCAGCUUGACGGUACUGUAAGAAUAAGGAUCGGCUAACUCCGUGCCAGCAGCCGCCGCCGUAA